UACGUAGGGUGCGAGCGUUGUCCGGAAUUAUUGGGCGUAAAGAGCUCGUAGGCGGUUUGUCGCGUCGGCCGUGAAAACUUGGGGCUUAACUCCAAGCUUGCGGUCGAUACGGGCAGACUGGAGGUAUGCAGGGGAGAACGGAAUUCCUGGUGUAGCGGUGAAAUGCGCAGAUAUCAGGAGGAACACCGGUGGCGAAGGCGGUUCUCUGGGCAUGUCCUGACGCUGAGGAGCGAAAGUGUGGGGAGCGAACAGG
rnacentral:rRNA from 1 species